GUUUCCUUUUUCCCUUUUUUUUUUUUUUCUGCUGCAGCAAUGGGAUUCUUUUCACCUAGUUUUGCUUACUAGGAAGUAAACAGCUCAACAACUUCUGAUUGAAGCCGUUUCAUUCAUUGGAGAAACCAUGGCACAGUAUCCUUCAUUGCCAUACAUUUAGGAUAGAGUCAUCAUCUUCUGUCUUUAAUGACCACAGAUGAAGAUUUUACAUUAACAAGGUACACACAGAUGAGCCUUCUCCAAUGGCAUCAUAAAUCUUUUGA
rnacentral:lncRNA from 1 species